rnacentral:rRNA from 1 species
AGAGUUUGAUCCUGGCUCAGGAUGAACGCUGGCGGCGUGCUUAACACAUGCAAGUCGAACGAAACACCUUAUUUGAUUUUCUUCGGAACUGAAGAUUUGGUGAUUGAGUGGCGGACGGGUGAGUAACGCGUGGGUAACCUGCCCUGUACAGGGGGAUAACAGUCAGAAAUGACUGCUAAUACCGCAUAAGACCACAGCACCGCAUGGUGCAGGGGUAAAAACUCCGGUGGUACAGGAUGGACCCGCGUCUGAUUAGCUGGUUGGUGAGGUAACGGCUCACCAAGGCGACGAUCAGUAGCCGGCUUGAGAGAGUGAACGGCCACAUUGGGACUGAGACACGGCCCAAACUCCUACGGGAGGCAGCAGUGGGGAAUAUUGCACAAUGGGGGAAACCCUGAUGCAGCGACGCCGCGUGAGUGAAGAAGUAUUUCGGUAUGUAAAGCUCUAUCAGCAGGGAAGAAAAUGACGGUACCUGACUAAGAAGCCCCGGCUAACUACGUGCCAGCAGCCGCGGUAAUACGUAGGGGGCAAGCGUUAUCCGGAUUUACUGGGUGUAAAGGGAGCGUAGACGGCAAGGCAAGUCUGAUGUGAAAACCCAGGGCUUAACCCUGGGACUGCAUUGGAAACUGUCUGGCUCGAGUGCCGGAGAGGUAAGCGGAAUUCCUAGUGUAGCGGUGAAAUGCGUAGAUAUUAGGAAGAACACCAGUGGCGAAGGCGGCUUACUGGACGGUAACUGACGUUGAGGCUCGAAAGCGUGGGGAGCAAACAGGAUUAGAUACCCUGGUAGUCCACGCCGUAAACGAUGA